rnacentral:rRNA from 1 species
UACGGGGGGGGUAAGCGUUGUUCGGAAUUACUGGGCGUAAAGCGUGCGCAGGCGGUCUUUUAAGUCAGAUGUGAAAUCCCCGGGCUUAACCUGGGAACUGCGUUUGAAACUGGAAGGCUAGAGUGUGGCAGAGGGGGGUGGAAUUCCACGUGUAGCAGUGAAAUGCGUAGAGAUGUGGAGGAACACCGAUGGCGAAGGCAGCCCCCUGGGCUAACACUGACGCUCAUGCACGAAAGCGUGGGGAGCAAACAGG